GACGAACGCUGGCGGCGUGCUUAACACAUGCAAGUCGUACGGUAAGGCCCUUUCGGGGGUACACGAGUGGCGGACGGGUGAGUAACACGCGAGUAACCUGCCCACCACUUUGGGAGAACGCUAGGAAACUGGCGCUAAUACUGGAUAUGUGCUCCUUCUGCAUGGUGGGGGUUGGAAAGCUCGGGCGGUUGUGGAUGGACUCGCGGCCGAUCAGCUUGUUGGUGGGGUAGUGGCUUACUAAGGGGGGGCGGGUAGCCGGGCCGGACGGGUGGCCCGCCACAUUUGGGCUGGGGAUCGGCCCAGGCUCCUUCCGGGGGCAGCAGGGGGGGAUUUUUCACCAAGGGCGCGAGCCUGAUGCAGCCAAGCCGCGGGCGGGAUUGCCGCCUUCGGGUUGUAAACCGCUUUCAGCAGGUACGGAGCUUUUUGUGACGGUACCUGCAGAAGAAGCACCGGCUAACUACGUG
rnacentral:rRNA from 1 species